rnacentral:snoRNA from 1 species
GCAGCACACUGAUUAAAGCUUGGAGCUGAGGCCAGUCUGGCCAGUGAACUUUCAAGUGUCGGAAGUGUGCUAAAUUAACUUUAUGGCAGGUCUUUCGCUAACACCGUCAGAGCUUCAAGCUCAAUGAUCGGGGUUUGAUAGUAGUCUCUGCCACACUU